GUUGCCCGUUAGACGAAUAUAGGGCUCCGGCGAGUCUUCGGAGGCGGCGCCCGCCGGGUGAGUACCACGUGGGCAACCUGCCUGUAAGACUGGGAUAACUCCGGGAAACCGGAGCUAAUACCGGAUACUAUGUCAAACCGCAUGGUUUGACAUUCAAAGACGGUUUCGGCUGUCACUUACAGAUGGGCCCGCGGCGCAUUAGCUAGUUGGUGAGGUAACGGCUCACCAAGGCGACGAUGCGUAGCCGACCUGAGAGGGUGAUCGGCCACACUGGGACUGAGACACGGCCCAGACUCCUACGGGAGGCAGCAGUAGGGAAUCUUCCGCAAUGGACGAAAGUCUGACGGAGCAACGCCGCGUGAGUGAUGAAGGUUUUCGGAUCGUAAAACUCUGUUGUCAGGGAAGAACAAGUGCCGGAGUAACUGCCGGCGCCUUGACGGUACCUGACCAGAAAGCCACGGCUAACUACGUGCCAGCAGCCGCGGUAAUACGUAGGUGGCAAGCGUUGUCCGGAAUUAUUGGGCGUAAAGCGCGCGCAGGCGGUUUCUUAAGUCUGAUGUGAAAGCCCCCGGCUCAACCGGGGAGGGUCAUUGGAAACUGGGAAACUUGAGUGCAGAAGAGGAGAGUGGAAUUCCACGUGUAGCGGUGAAAUGCGUAGAGAUGUGGGAGGAACACCAGUGGCGAAGGCGACUCUCUGGUCUGUAACUGACGCUGAGGCGCGAAAGCGUGGGGAGCGAACAGGAUUAGAUACCCUGGUAGUCCACGCCGUAAACGAUGAGUGCUAAGUGUUAGAGGGUUUCCGCCCUUUAGUGCUGCAGCUAACGCAUUAAGCACUCCGCCUGGGGAGUACGGUCGCAGACUGAAACUCAAAGGAAUUGACGGGGGCCCGCACAAGCGGUGGAGCAUGUGGUUUAAUUCUAAGCAACGCGAAGAAACCUUCCAGGGUUUUGACA
rnacentral:rRNA from 2 species